rnacentral:lncRNA from 1 species
AUUCCUUCUUUCAAUGCACCAAUUCCUGAUUCACUAAACACUUUGUCUGAGUUCAUAAAUCGCAUGGAACAUAUACUAUCACAAAACGGUUAUGGGCCAAAUAUAUCUUUAACUAACUAUGGAGAUCAACGGGUAGAAUUGCCUUCCAAUACACAAGGGUUGCCAACACUUGAAGCAUUGACCACUGUAUUGCAUCGCGUAGAACAAUUGCUUGAUGGUCAAGCUAUUUCUGCGCUAUCUCAUAUUGCAGGACGUAUGGAGCGAGAGGGAACGUCUGCUGAUCUAGGUGUAAGAGGUCAAAUACAGUCUGAGUCAAUACAGAUAGGAAUUGUUAUGCAGCUUUUGGGUGCACUUCUACUUGAACAAGGCCGAACUAUGUUAACCCUGCAUUGCACAAAACUGAGAUCAAUAUAGAAGUCAAAGGCGAAUGAAAAGGGUGUACAUUCUGUAGCUAAUCUUGCAUCUUACCCACUAAAGAAUCCGCAAGGGCAGAACUUAAUGAUUCCAGUUCAACCAGUGAACUUUUCUUUCAGGCCAUGUGCAACAUCUGAUAUGGUUGGCGGAAACAGUAAGCAGUCACAGACUUAACAAUAGAAGAAAUGGCUUGGAUUUGUCUGGCAGCCUGUGAUGGAUUGGGGUGUCGGAGUUACAAUAGACAGGAAGGUCAACCUGAUUCACUUCUGAGCAUAAUACCUGUAGAAUUUCCAGAUGACAAGAUCAGGAAGUCUCCUUUUGCGACUUAUGAACAAAAUGGAAGAAAGGCACCAUACCUAAAUGGGUAGUGAAGAAGAAGAAACUGUCGGCAAAGAGUGAGCCAAAUCUGGAUCCUAGGGCAGCAAUGGCUCCCGUUGUAUCCAAAAUGAAAGUUAUGCAAGCUACAACAACAAAGCUAAUCAAUAGAAUAUGGGGUGAAUAUUACUCAAACCAUUUACCUGAGGAAUCAAAAGAAGGAAAUGCAGA